UUUUCAGGAGAUCUGGUUGUUUAAAAAUGUGUAACAUCUCCGCCUUCUCUCUCUGUCCUGCUGUGGCCAUGUGAAGAUGUGACUGCUUCCCCUUCACCUUCCACCAUGAUUGCAAUUGUCUCAAUCAAGAUUGAACUUGGUCUCAAGUGUCCUGAAUCCAGUGAUUAUCUAAUCUGUGAUACAAAGACUAACUACCUUGCCUCCAUUUUGAGAAACCCGGAAGUGCUGCUAUUUUAGUUCCAGAGCUUCUCACAGGAAGGCUUAAGAUCUAAGAAGUUGAGCCACCUCAGCCUGGUUCAGAAGCCUUGCUGGAAAGAUGAUUGCUGGAGAGGUGAUGCAAUCAUUUGGAAAAUAGAAGCCAUCCAUGUAAGAUGUGACUUGCUCCUCCUUCCCUUCCACCGUGAUUGUGAGGCCUCCCUAGCCAUGUGGAACUGUAAGUCCAUUAAAUCUCUUUCUUUUGUAAACUGCCCAGUCUUAGAUAUGUCUUUAUCAGCAGCGUGAAAACAGGGUAAUAUAGUAAAUUGGUAACAGUAGAAUGGGAUGCUGCUGAAAAGGUAUCUGAAAAUGUGGAGGUGACUUUGGAAAUGGGUAACAGGCUGAGGUUGAAACAGUUUGGAGGGCUCAGAAAAAGACAGGAAAAUGUGGGAAAGUGUGGAACUCCCUAGAGACUUGCAGAAUGGCUUUGAUCAAAACACAGAAUAUGAUAUGGACAAUGAAACCCAGGCUGAGGCGGUCUCAGAUGUAGAUGAGAAACUUGUUGGGAACCAGAGCAAAGGUGACUCUUGUUAUGUUUUAGCAAAGCGACUGAUGGCAUUUUGCCCCUGCCCUAGAGAUUUAUGGAACUUUGAAUUUGAGAGAGAUGAUUUAGAGUAUAUGGCGGAAGAAAUUUCUAAGAAGCAAAGCAAUCAAGAAGUGACUUGGGUGCUGUUAAAUGCAUUCAGUUUUAUAAGGGAAGCAGAGCAUACAAGUUUUGGAAAAUUUGCAGCCUGACAAUGCAAUAGAAAAGGAAAUCCCAUUUUCUGAGGAGAAAUACAAGCUGGCUGCAGAAAUUUGCAUAAGUAAUGAGGAGCCCAUGUUAAUCCCCAAGACAAUAAGGAAAAUGUCUUCUGAGCAUGACACACCUUUGCAGCAGCCCCUGGCAUCACAGCCUCAGAAGUUUAGGAGGAAAAAGUGUUUUUUUGGGUCAGGCCUGGGGUCCCUCUGCUGUGUGCAGUCUAGGGACUUGGUGCCCUGCAUCCUAGCUGCUCCAGCCAUGACUGAAAAGGACCAAGGUGCAGCUCAGACUGUUGCUUCAGAGGGUGAAAGCCUUGGUGUUGAGCCUUCAGGUAGACAGAAGUCAAGAAUGAACCUCCACCCAGAUUUCAGAAGAUGUAUGGAAAAUGCUUGGAUGCCCAGGCAGAAGUUUACUGCAGGGGUGGUGUCCUCAUGGAGAACCCGUGCUAGGGCAGUGCAGAUGGGAAAUGUGGGGUCGGAGCCCCCAAAGUGUCUCUACUGAGGCACUGCCUAGUGGAGCUCUUAGAAGAGGGCUGCUGUCCAGGUGCCUGUAGUCCCAGCUACUUGG
ensembl:lncRNA LINC02336 long intergenic non-protein coding RNA 2336